GAGGGUAUAGCUCAAGUGGUAGAGCAUAUGCCCAGCAAGCAUGAGGUCCUGGGUUCGUUCCCCAGUACCUCCA
rnacentral:tRNA from 1 species